rnacentral:rRNA from 1 species
GACGAACGCUGGCGGCGUGCUUAACACAUGCAAGUCGAGCGGUAAGGCCUUUCGGGGUACACGAGCGGCGAACGGGUGAGUAACACGUGGGUGAUCUGCCCUGCACUUCGGGAUAAGCCUGGGAAACUGGGUCUAAUACCGGAUAUGACCUCAGGUUGCAUGACUUGGGGUGGAAAGAUUUAUCGGUGCAGGAUGGGCCCGCGGCCUAUCAGCUUGUUGGUGGGGUAAUGGCCUACCAAGGCGACGACGGGUAGCCGACCUGAGAGGGUGACCGGCCACACUGGGACUGAGACACGGCCCAGACUCCUACGGGAGGCAGCAGUGGGGAAUAUUGCACAAUGGGCGAAAGCCUGAUGCAGCGACGCCGCGUGAGGGAUGACGGCCUUCGGGUUGUAAACC